GGUCGGUUAGCUCAGUUGGUUAGAGCGUCGUACUAAUACAACGCAAGUUGUAUCAAGUGAUGCGAAGGUCAUGAGUUCGACCCUCAUACUGACCA
rnacentral:tRNA from 1 species